AGAGUUUGAUCCUGGCUCAGGAUGAACGCUAGCGGCAGGCCUAAUACAUGCAAGUCGAGCGGCAAGUUGGGUAGUAAUACUUGACCUAGAGCGGCGCACGGGUGCGUAACGCGUAUGCAACCUACCUUUUACUGGGGGAUAGCCCGGAGAAAUCUGGAUUAAUACCCCAUGGUAUCUAUGGACCGAAUGGUUUGUAGCUUAAAGAUUUAUCGGUAAAAGAUGGGCAUGCGUCUGAUUAGCUAGUUGGCGGGGUAACGGCCCACCAAGGCGACGAUCAGUAGGGGUUCUGAGAGGAAGGUCCCCCACACUGGCACUGAGAUACGGGCCAGACUCCUACGGGAGGCAGCAGUAGGGAAUAUUGGGCAAUGGUCGCAAGACUGACCCAGCCAUGCCGCGCGCAGGAAGACGGCCCUCUGGGUUGUAAACUGCUUUUAUCUGGGAAGAAAAAGUCCAUGCGUGGAAAAUUGCCGGUACCAGAUGAAUAAGCACCGGCUAACUCC
rnacentral:rRNA from 1 species